rnacentral:rRNA from 1 species
UCCGUAGGUGAACCUGCGGAAGGAUCAUUACCGAGUUUUCGGGCUUCGGCUCGACUCUCCCACCCUUUGUGAACGUACCUCUGUUGCUUUGGCGGCUCCGGCCGCCAAAGGACCUCCAAACUCCAGUCAGUAAACGCAGACGUCUGAUAAACAAGUUAAUAAACUAAAACUUUCAACAACGGAUCUCUUGGUUCUGGCAUCGAUGAAGAACGCAGCGAAAUGCGAUAAGUAAUGUGAAUUGCAGAAUUCAGUGAAUCAUCGAAUCUUUGAACGCACAUUGCGCCCCUUGGUAUUCCGGGGGGCAUGCCUGUUCGAGCGUCAUUACAACCCUCAAGCUCUGCUUGGAAUUGGGCACCGUCCUCACUGCGGACGCGCCUCAAAGACCUCGGCGGUGGCUGUUCAGCCCUCAAGCGUAGUAGAAUACACCUCGCUUUGGAGUGGUUGGCGUCGCCCGCCGGACGAACCUUCUGAACUUUUCUCAAGGUUGACCUCGGAUCAGGUAGG